UUAGCAGGAUCAACCUCGAUUCCUCUCUCACUUACAAUGAACCCCCAGCAGCUUACCGGCCCGCACUCUGAUAGUGCACUUAUUUGAAUUCAACCUCAGUUUGAAUUGUCUCAACUGGUCCACUCAGCUUGGCCAGAUCUACCAGAUGCCCCUCUUCUGUUUGGGACUUUGCUAUCAUGUCAUCAACAUAGCAUUCGAUUUCAU
rnacentral:lncRNA from 1 species